UUUUCUGCUUCAACACACCUUUGUUUUUGUUAUGUGCAUAAUUUUUUGGCUCAUGUUGGGAAUAACCCCAAAUUAGUUAUUUAUUAUUCAAGGUUGAUGGCAACGUGUUUUUUUAUUUAUCAAGGCCCUAUAUCCUUCCAUUAAACAGACACUCCGAGGCUGGCAACAGAGCUGCCUGUACUGGGCAAACUCGUUUGCCAAGCGCCUCUUCGUGUUCCUCUACUCCCCUUCCAUCCAUUUCAUCUGCACAAUUCUCACAAUGUUUUUUGCUUCCCCGUUCUUUUUUUUCUUUUUUUUUUUUUUAUUAAGAUUGCCUAAUUUACCCUCGUCUCGUUAUUCCCUCCUUUCAUUGUGCUGUACAAAACUCUUUUCCCAUAGUCGCACAAUUUAUGUGUACACUAUGCGCUUUAUGGUAACUCCCUGCUGGAUCUCUGAUUCUCCUCCGCCUUACGACCCCAUAAAAAUCAAAAGCCCUCGAAAAGAAAAAUGAGAAAAAGAACUGCCAUAGAAGAAAAAAAAAAAACUGGCCAACCAUUGCGGAUAAUGUCUACGCAUGCAGGCCAGUUUCAUAUAUUUUAUCAAGUCUUCCACACAC